rnacentral:rRNA from 1 species
AACGAACGCUGGCGGCAUGCCUAACACAUGCAAGUCGAACGAAGCCUUCGGGCUUAGUGGCGCACGGGUGCGUAACGCGUGGGAAUCUGCCCUUGGGUUCGGAAUAACAGUUAGAAAUGACUGCUAAUACCGGAUGAUGUCUUCGGACCAAAGAUUUAUCGCCCAGGGAUGAGCCCGCGUCGGAUUAGCUAGUUGGUGAGGUAAAGGCUCACCAAGGCGACGAUCCGUAGCUGGUCUGAGAGGAUGAUCAGCCACACUGGGACUGAGACACGGCCCAGACUCCUACGGGAGGCAGCAGUGGGGAAUAUUGGACAAUGGGCGAAAGCCUGAUCCAGCAAUGCCGCGUGAGUGAUGAAGGCCUUAGGGUUGUAAAGCUCUUUUACCCGGGAUGAUAAUGACAGUACCGGGAGAAUAAGCCCCGGCUAACUCCGUGCCAGCCGCCGCAGUAAUAC